CGCUACCAUAUUGAAACUGUUGACGUGUUUGACAGAUGACAGCCAACUCAUAAAAAUACAAAGAUGAGGCUUGAAAGUUUGUUUAUAUUUGAAUGUGGAAAAAUUAAAAAAAAAACUGAAAUAUUCAUGUAAAAAACUGCAAAUUUCGUUUCUGUGAUAAAAAUUCCUAUCGGAAAAAACUACGAAUAAUAGCGCCCGAAAUACUACGAUUUGCCUUUUUUGGUAUACUUCCAUUUUGAAACUGUUGACAGAUGACAGCCAACUCAUAAAAAUACAAAGAUGAAGCUUGAAAGUUUGUUUAUAUUUGAAUGUAGAAAAAUUUGAAAAAAAACUGAAAUAUUCAUGUAAAAACUGAAAAUUUCGUUUCUGUUUCAUAAAAAGGCUCAGUUCUGCUAUGGCAAAUGAUGUGUCAUCAAAAUCAAAGUGUAUUACCAGCAAUUACAUCAAAAUUUAAAAACUUUAAAACAUUGUCCCAUUGUCUAAUAACUUACGACCAAGAGCAACACUUCGAUUCCAUAACAAUUUUUGAUCUAAAACUAACCUUCAAAUAUAUUAAACAAUAAAUGUUUAUAA